rnacentral:rRNA from 1 species
UCUGUAGGCGGUGUGGUAAGUCAGAUGUGAAAUCCCGGGGCUCAACCCCGGAACUGCAUCCGAUACUGCCACACUUGAGGGUCGGAGGGGAGUCUGGAAUUCUCGGUGUAGCAGUGAAAUGCGUAGAUAUCGAGAGGAACACUCGUGGCGAAGGCGAGACUCUGGACGACACCUGACGCUGAGAGACGAAGGCCAGGGUAGCGAAAA